GACGAACGCUGGCGGCGUGCUUAACACAUGCAAGUCGAACGGAAAGGCCCUGCUUUUGUGGGGUGCUCGAGUGGCGAACGGGUGAGUAACACGUGAGUAACCUGCCCUUGACUUUGGGAUAACUUCAGGAAACUGGGGCUAAUACCGGAUAGGAGCUCCUGCUGCAUGGUGGGGGUUGGAAAGUUUCGGCGGUUGGGGAUGGACUCGCGGCUUAUCAGCUUGUUGGUGGGGUAGUGGCUUACCAAGGCUUUGACGGGUAGCCGGCCUGAGAGGGUGACCGGCCACCUUGGGACUGAGAUACGGCCCAGACUCCUACGGGAGGCAGCAGUGGGGAAUAUUGCGCAAUGGGCGGAAGCCUGAUGCAGCAACGCCGCGUGCGGGAUGACGGCCUUCGGGUUGUAAACCGCUUUCGCCUGUGACGAAGCGUGAGUGACGGUAAUGGGUAAAGAAGCACCGGCUAACUACGUG
rnacentral:rRNA from 1 species